UUCAUUUAGCUUUUCUUCAGCCAUUCAGAGGUGGACUUGCUUUUGGAUCAGUGUCCUGCUGCAGAACAGAUGGCUGGGAAUUCUCUUUCAGGGUUUUUUGGUAGACAAAAAAUGUGUUCAGAAGGAGAAAAACAGCCCCAGACCAUCACACUACCACCACCAGAUUUUACUGUUGCUGUGAUGUUCUUCUGAAAUGCUGUGCUACACCAGAUAUAAUAGGACACACACCUUCCCAGCAGUUCAACUUUUGUCUCGUCAGACUUUUCUGAAAAGAUGUUUUCUGGUAAACCUGAGAUGAGCCUUGAUGCUCUUUUUGCUCAGCAGUGGUUUUGGUCUUUGAACUUUGAGCCAUUCAGCCCAUUUCUGCCCAGCCUCUUUCUUAUGGUGGAGUCACGAACACUGACCUAAAGUGAGAAGAACACAUCAGGUGACCCUACAGACCAUGGUUCACUGGGAGGUGGAUGUCCACGAGCCCCUCGCUCCCGUGCUUAGCGCUGGUGUUUCCCUGACAACCAGAGCAGCAGAUAUACCUACACAUGCCGGCCUGGGGAAGCCGCAUUGUGAGCAGGGAAGUGAUGUUGCCGUGGUGAUGAUGAAAGGAGAAAUAUUGUAAUCGCAAGGGAAGAAGCCGGGCAAGACUGCAAUUCACGCAGCUGAUGACGGUUAACCCUCAACACACCACCACAGGAUUGUUCUUGUGCAGGUAGAAGCAGCGGAGCAAGGCCAUACCAUUGUCACCACGGAAGAGGACCUGUACGAUGCUGGUUCCAUGGCAACGCCGGCCGCCCACUCUCCCCUCAGGCUGCG